rnacentral:tRNA from 1 species
GGCCCAUUGGCUCAGUUGGCUAGAGUGUCAUGUUAAUUAUGUGAAGGCUCAGGUCGAGACCUGCAUGGGCCA